AGAUUAAGUUAUUAAGGGCGCACGGUGGAUGCCUUGGCACUAGAAGCCGAUGAAGGACGUUACUAACGACGAUAUGCUUUGGGGAGCUGUAAGUAAGCUUUGAUCCAGAGAUUUCCGAAUGGGGAAACCCAACAUGAGUUAUGUCAUGUUAUCGAUAUGUGAAUACAUAGCAUAUCAGAAGGCACACCCGGAGAACUGAAACAUCUUAGUACCCGGAGGAAGAGAAAGAAAAUUCGAUUCCCUUAGUAGCGGCGAGCGAAACGGGAAGAGCCCAAACCAACAAGCUUGCUUGUUGGGGUUGUAGGACACUCUAUACGGAGUUACAAAGGACGACAUUAGACGAAUCAUCUGGAAAGAUGAAUCAAAGAAGGUAAUAAUCCUGUAGUCGAAAAUGUUGUCUCUCUUGAGUGAAUCCUGAGUACGACGGAGCACGUGAAAUUCCGUCGGAAUCUGGGAGGACCAUCUCCUAAGGCUAAAUACUCUCUAGUGACCGAUAGUGAACCAGUACCGUGAGGGAAAGGUGAAAAGCACCCCGGAAGGGGAGUGAAAUAGAACCUGAAACCGUGUGCUUACAAGUAGUCAGAGCCCGUUAAUGGGUGAUGGCGUGCCUUUUGUAGAAUGAACCGGCGAGUUACGAUUUGAUGCAAGGUUAAGCAGUAAAUGUGGAGCCGUAGCGAAAGCGAGUCUGAAUAGGGCGUUUAGUAUUUGGUCGUAGACCCGAAACCAGGUGAUCUACCCUUGGUCAGGUUGAAGUUCAGGUAACACUGAAUGGAGGACCGAACCGACUUACGUUGAAAAGUGAGCGGAUGAACUGAGGGUAGCGGAGAAAUUCNUGUAGUCGAAAAUGUUGUCUCUCUUGAGUGGAUCCUGAGUACGACGGAGCACGUGAAAUUCCGUCGGAAUCUGGGAGGACCAUCUCCUAAGGCUAAAUACUCUCUAGUGACCGAUAGUGAACCAGUACCGUGAGGGAAAGGUGAAAAGCACCCCGGAAGGGGAGUGAAAUAGAACCUGAAACCGUGUGCUUACAAGUAGUCAGAGCCCGUUAAUGGGUGAUGGCGUGCCUUUUGUAGAAUGAACCGGCGAGUUACGAUUUGAUGCAAGGUUAAGCAGUAAAUGUGGAGCCGUAGCGAAAGCGAGUCUGAAUAGGGCGUUUAGUAUUUGGUCGUAGACCCGAAACCAGGUGAUCUACCCUUGGUCAGGUUGAAGUUCAGGUAACACUGAAUGGAGGACCGAACCGACUUACGUUGAAAAGUGAGCGGAUGAACUGAGGGUAGCGGAGAAAUUCCAAUCGAACCUGGAGAUAGCUGGUUCUCUCCGAAAUAGCUUUAGGGCUAGCCUCAAGUGAUGAUUAUUGGAGGUAGAGCACUGUUUGGACGAGGGGCCCCUCUCGGGUUACCGAAUUCAGACAAACUCCGAAUGCCAAUUAAUUUAACUUGGGAGUCAGAACAUGGGUGAUAAGGUCCGUGUUCGAAAGGGAAACAGCCCAGACCACCAGCUAAGGUCCCAAAAUAUAUGUUAAGUGGAAAAGGAUGUGGCGUUGCCCAGACAACUAGGAUGUUGGCUUAGAAGCAGCCAUCAUUUAAAGAGUGCGUAAUAGCUCACUAGUCGAGUGACACUGCGCCGAAAAUGUACCGGGGCUAAACAUAUUACCGAAGCUGUGGAUUGU
rnacentral:rRNA from 1 species